rnacentral:rRNA from 1 species
CUACGGGAGGCAGCAGUGGGGAAUUUUCCGCAAUGGGCGAAAGCCUGACGGAGCAACGCCGCGUGAGGGAUGAAGGCCUCUGGGCUGUAAACCUCUUUUAUCAAGGAAGAAGAUCUGACGGUACUUGAUGAAUAAGCCACGGCUAAUUCCGUGCCAGCAGCCGCGGUAAUACGGGAGUGGCAAGCGUUAUCCGGAAUUAUUGGGCGUAAAGCGUCCGCAGGCGGCCCUUCAAGUCUGCUGUUAAAAAGUGGAGCUUAACUCCAUCAUGGCAGUGGAAACUGUUGGGCUUGAGUGUGGUAGGGGCAGAGGGAAUUCCCGGUGUAGCGGUGAAAUGCGUAGAUAUCGGGAAGAACACCAGUGGCGAAGGCGCUCUGCUGGGCCAUCACUGACGCUCAUGGACGAAAGCCAGGGGAGCGAAAGGGAUUAGAUACCCCUGUAGUCCUGGCCGUAGACGAUGAACACUAGGUGUCGGGGGAAUCGACCCCCUCGGUGUCGUAGCCAACGCGUUAAGUGUUCC